GUAGGUGGCAAGCGUUGUCCGGAAUUAUUGGGCGUAAAGCGCGCGCAGGCGGUUCUUUAAGUCUGAUGUGAAAGCCCACGGCUCAACCGUGGAGGGUCAUUGGAAACUGGAGAACUUGAGUACAGAAGAGGAAAGCGGAAUUCCACGUGUAGCGGUGAAAUGCGUAGAGAUGUGGAGGAACACCAGUGGCGAAGGCGGCUUUCUGGUCUGUAACUGACGCUGAGGCGCGAAAGCGUGGGGAGCAAACAGGGAUUAGAUACCCUGGUAGUCCACGCCGUAAACGAUGAGUGCUAAGUGUUAGGGGGUUUCCGCCCCCUUAGUGCUGCAGCUAACGCAUUAAGCACUCCGCCUGGGGAUACGGCCGCAAGGCUA
rnacentral:rRNA from 1 species